AGAUGGCUAAGCUGUGCCUGCGUUUGAAUUCUCAUAAAUGCUUGCAUACAGGAGCUAGAGACAAAAGAAAUGAUCUUCCUUAGUGGUUCCUAGUGCCAGGUCAGCUGUAUCAGAAUCACCUGGAGCACUGGUUGAAAUGCGGUCCCUGGCUUGGACCUUCUGAAUCAAGACUGCUUGGAGCUGGGCCUGGAGUCUUUCAGAAUCCAGCAGGCUGCAUGAAGACCUGCCCCCUGAUUGACUUGGAGGUGGACAACGGACCUGCGCAGACGGGGACUGUGGUGCCAUCUUUGCUUCAUCAGGACCUGGCAGCCUUGGGAAUCAGUGAUGCUCCUGUUACAGGCACGGUUUCUGGUCAGAAUUGCUGUGAGGAAAAGAGGAAUCCCUCCUCCAGCACGCUGCCAGGCGGUGGUGUUCAGAACCCUUCUGCAGACAGGAAUUUGCUGGACCUCCUCUCACCACAGCCAGCUCCGUGCCCUCUGAAUUAUGUUUCGCAGAAAAGUGUCCCCAAGGAAGUGCCACCAGGUACUAAGUCCUCUCCAGGUUGGUCCUGGGAGGCUGGCCCGUUGGCUCCUUCCCCAUCUUCACAG
rnacentral:sRNA from 1 species